AAAGUCGUAACAAGGUUUCCGUAGGUGAACCUGCGGAAGGAUCAUUAGUGAUAUAGAAAAUCUAUUUUUCUAGUCCACUAUAUAUACCCUUUUGUCAACCAUACCUUUGUUGCUUCCACUGGACAGACAGAAGUGCCGCUUCAUUGUAGCAUGUAUGUCCUCUGGCUCACCUUUUGGUGUUGCUGGGGAGUGCCGGUGGAAAGAAAUCAAAACUCUGUCUUUAGAAACACUUGUCUGACAAACUUAUUUUUUAAUAAAAAUAAAACUUUCAACAACGGAUCUCUAGGCUCUU
rnacentral:misc_RNA from 1 species